ACGCUGAGGAGCGAAAGGGUGGGGAGCAAACAGGCUUAGAUACCCUGGUAGUCCACCCCGUAAACGUUGGGAACUAGUUGUGGGGACCAUUCCACGGUUUCCGUGACGCAGCUAACGCAUUAAGUUCCCCGCCUGGGGAGUACGGCCGCAAGGCUAAAACUCAAAGGAAUUGACGGGGACCCGCACAAGCGGCGGAGCAUGCGGAUUAAUUCGAUGCAACGCGAAGAACCUUACCAAGGCUUGACAUAUACGAGAACGCUGCAGAAAUGUGGAACUCUUUGGACACUCGUAUACAGGUGGUGCAUGGUUGUCGUCAGCUCGUGUCGUGAGAUGUUGGGUUAAGUCCCGCAACGAGCGCAACCCUCGUUCUAUGUUGGCAGCACGUAAUGGUGGGAACUCAUGGGAUACUCCGGGCAACUCGGAGGAAGGCG
rnacentral:rRNA from 1 species